rnacentral:rRNA from 1 species
UACGAAGGGUGCAAGCGUUAAUCGGAAUUACUGGGCGUAAAGCGUGCGUAGGCGGUUAUUUAAGUCUGUUGUGAAAUCCCCGGGCUCAACCUGGGAAUGGCAAUGGAUACUGGAUAGCUAGAGUGUGAUAGAGGAUGGUGGAAUUCCCGGUGUAGCGGUGAAAUGCGUAGAGAUCGGGAGGAACACCAGUGGCGAAGGCGGCCGGCUGGGGGUGACCUGACGCUGAGGCGCGGAAGCGUGGGGAGCGAACCGG